AGGAUUAUGGUGAAAGUUCUUCGUGAAACGAGUCGAAUGAAGAGGAAACGGCCGAUUUUUUAAGCGAUACAACGAAGCGAGGCGAAGUACAGGAAGUUGAAUUGUUCACCCUAACUAUAAUUAGUAACGGUAUGUUUAGGAAAGCGUGAUAUUAACCGGUCAACAAUCGGUACCAAACAUUUAGUGUUUUGCCUAUCGUUAUCAGCAACAAGAUUUUAUGCAUUCGAAGUGUUAGAACGUUUCCUAUCGGAGAAAAUUCGCGAUAAAUCGACUUUAUUUCGAAUAAACGUGCUAUUUCGUUGAUUGUAGUUAGUUUAUUAUUAAAACAUCGAUAAUAUACGCGCGUAGUUUUUAAAAAUCAUUCUGGGUUAAUGAAUUGAGCUUUCUUUCCAGAUAAAUUUUCAAAUUCGUUAAUUAAUUGAUAAUAUUUGUUCUGAAAUUUCCAAGAAGAUUUUUGAAAGACAUUAAGAACGACAAGACUUGUCAUACGAAUUAAGAAGUGUACGAAUCUUUCCCUACAAUCUAGCAAUACUCUUUCUAACUCUCGUUGAAUAUUCGUGCAUUUCGCAACGCGGAGAAACGCGGACCGGUAUCCGUAUACUACGAUCGCUGUCAGAAAACUGGGGUAUGAGAACUCACGAGAGCGAGAUCCUCUAGUUAGGAUCCAACGAGUACGUUCUCAGAUUCGCUAUCAAGUCGAAAAGAAAUGAAUAGAGAGAAAUAGGCGAAGUCGAAAAAGGGAAGAAGCAAAAGGGCAAAGCCAUGGUCGUCUCUUUGUAAACGAAUAAUGGAUCAUUAUUUCUAACUCACCCAUUUAUUGUUAGAGAAAUCCAUUUUUAUUCCUUUGUCGUCACGUCCUUGUGCCAUUUAAUUUUAAGGUAGAGCCGUUUAAUGUUAUUUUUUUGGUGAAAAAUCGAAGAAUGAUUGUUUAAAGGCGCUAAGAAGGAUAACGUGAUAGCUCUCACGCGAAACGACGCUUAACUGUACGCGGAACAACUGAUACUGCACAUUCGUGGCUAAAAAAGAAACCAUACCGGUACGGACUCGUCCGGAAGUGGGUCCGGAACUCUGAUCGGCCAGCCGUAACACACGGGUAACUUGGUGAAUACACGCAGAACCAUGCGGGCAUAGCCUCGACGGCGUUGGUGCAUUCAUUUCAUCUCAACUCACCUGAACGUACCUGUUCGACUUUACUCACGAUUAUCUUAUUCAAAGUCACGAUCAAAAGCCCUUUUAAUGAUGAAUUAGAAUUACUGUUUACAUUUCGUCUAUAUUUACAUAAUGAACAUUUAUAAUGAUUUUUUUCGGAAUUAAAUAACUAUAUACUAAUAAGAAAUUUUAUAACCCUUGAACAUAGGCAACUUUAUCUUACAUACAUGUCUGUAGGAAUGGUUUGCCUACCACUUGGGGAUAAAGAAUUUUUUCUUAUUACGCUGUUCUUCGUCUCCAUUUUUAUCAUGAUUCACGCUUACGUCUAGACGUAAUAAUCCUUGACCGAUUUUGAUGAACAGGGUCUCAUUUUAAAGAUAAAGAUUUAAACGAAGAGACGAUUUAUUAUAAUUAUCGAAAAUGCUUUAUUUUCCUUCAAAAGAGUCUUAUUAAAAAAUGUUGUUCUUUCUAGAACAGUUCAUGCAUAAAAAUAAAGCUUCUUCAAAAAUUCGAAACAGCGGUCAUCUUCACGUUUAAUAGAGUAGAUUUUAAAGUAGAGUCACCGUCAGUUCAUGGGUCUCCAGAUGCAGCAAUCUCCACGUGGUGAGAUCUAGAUUUAUAGAUUAGUUAUUGCAUGUAACAAUUACAUUUAUUAUUCAUUAUGCAUUUAUAUCGUAAAAUAAAUGCAUACCGACGCUGCAUCGUAUCGCACAU